rnacentral:rRNA from 1 species
GAUGAAGGCUGGCGGCGUGCCUAAUACAUGCAAGUCGAGCGAACGGACGAGAAGCUUGCUUCUCUGAUGUUAGCGGCGGACGGGUGAGUAACACGUGGAUAACCUACCUAUAAGACUGGGAUAACUUCGGGAAACCGUAGCUAAUACCGGAUAAUAUUUUGAACCGCAUGGUUCAUAAGUGAAAGACGGUCUUGCUGGCACUUAUAGAUGGAUCCGCGCUGCAUUAGCUAGUUGGUAAGGUAACGGCUUACCAAGGCAACGAUGCAUAGCCGACCUGAGAGGGUGAUCGGCCACCCUGGAACUGAGACACGGUCCAGACUCCUACGGGAGGCAGCAGUAGGGAAUCUUCCGCAAUGGGCGAAAGCCUGACGGAGCAGCGCCGCGUGAGUGAUGAGGGUCGUCGGAUCGUAAAACUCUGUUAUUAGGGAAGAACAUAUGUGUAAGUAACUGUGCACAUCUUGACGGUACCUAAGCAGAAAGCCACGGCUAACUUCGUG